rnacentral:rRNA from 1 species
GACGGAGGAUGCAAGUGUUAUCCGGAAUCACUGGGCGUAAAGCGUCUGUAGGUGGUUUAAUAAGUCAACUGUUAAAUCUUGAGGCUCAACCUCAAAAUCGCAGUCGAAACUAUUAGGCUAGAGUAUAGUAGGGGUAAAGGGAAUUUCCAGUGGAGCGGUGAAAUUCGAUAGAUAUUCGGAAGAACACCAGUGGCGAAGGCGGCUCACUGGACUGGGUAUUGACGCUGAGGUGCGAAAGCGUGGGGAGCAAACAGGG